GAUUAAGAAACUGUACGUAAUUUCUUUUAUCUCUUAACUCCUGGUCACUGUGAUGUGAAACUGCUCUGCUCUGACAGGCCCAAGAUGAUGAACGGACACCUUUGAAAUUAGGAACCAAAAUCAGUCCCUCUGCCCUUAAGUUAUUAGCUUAAGUUUUUGGUCACAAGCUAAUAACUAAUCCACAGAACACCUGGACCCUUUUCUACAGAACACGACUCCCUUUCCGUACAGAGUCUCCUGGUGUCUGAGAUGUGAAAACAUCCUCUGAAAACUAGAGAGCCUUCUAGGCUCCCAUUGCUGCUUAGUACAAUUCCAAUGAGGCUCAGGUCCACAUGCCCUCCUCAAAGCCCCACUUAAAUUUUAUCCAAACCACCUUCAUCUCUACAUUUUUCUCCAAAUUUCCUGCAGACAGGGUUUCAGCAUUUGAAGGUGAUGAUGGAUUCCGUGUGUUUGAGACCGGGGUCAUCGCCUGUUGAAUGAAUGAGAACGAGAAGCUGUGGGUACAACUCAGUUGGUGCUGUGGGUGAGCUUUGCUGAUAAUGACACAGCUCUGCGGUGUUCCCAAGCAUGGGCGUCAUGGACCACAACCAACAGGCUACUGAGAAUGCAAAGGAGGAGGUGACGGGAAUCUUGGGGUUACUGGAUGGAUGUCCACUUGAUAGCAAGGACUUAUUUGUUAUGUGUAGGUGGAUGGGUACAUCCAUGGAAAUAAAUGAGUGUGCCCCUGAAGGCCAGAAGAGGACACUGAAUCCCCUGGAGUCUUCAGUCAUGUCCGUUGGAGAGGGUGAUGGUGAAGAGUCAUCUUUAUCUUUAUCUUCUUAGGAACCCAUUUGAAAGGCUUCUCUCAUUUCCGGAGCUGCCAAUGGGAAAGGAGCUGGAGGAUCCCUCUCUAGAACUCACCUCAGAGCAUCUGUGGCUCUGCCUUCCAUGGGAUGCCUACAUCUCUAGGAUUUGGCUCAACUCUGAUUUCUCCCCAGGAUUCAGUCCUUGGCCCAUUUUGCUCUUUGGUUCUUCCAUAGGUCUUUGAUUCACUCCACUGAUGUCUUGACCUCUGGACUCAGGCACCAGACAGCUGGGAAAGUUCACUCGGCUUCUCUGUGUUUAAGAGAGAAGAAGUGGAUGGGAUAAUGUAAAGGGGGAAGAUUUAUUUUGCUCAUGGUUUCAAGGGCUUGAGGAUGGCCAGGAGAAAGUGUGAUGGGAGCCUUUGGAGGAGGGGGUGUUGACCUACCUCAUGGUACAUGGGAAGCAGAGAGGGGCCAUACCUCUCAGGGACUUCCUCGGCUCCUAAAUAGCACCACCAGCCAGGAUCAAGCCUUUGGGGGCAAGGCCUUGCCUCCUGAACAGCCAUAAAUAGAUAAUGUAUACAUUGGUCUACACCUGACAUUGCUAUUUCUGCUACACCAUCAUUCCCUCCUCGCAACCUCACUGAUCUCAUGCUACGCAUGCUCAGGGACCAGCUUCUGACCUGCUCGUCACCAUUCCAACCCCACUGAGCCUGUGCAACAGGUCAGGCCCCUCCCUGGGAAUCUACACAGUGGCUAAAUCUGGAUAGGAGGUAUAAAUCCAGUCUUAGUCAAUUUGAGUACUCUCUCCCGGCCAUAGUUUCCUCAGUUAUAAAAGACACCAGCAGCACCUCUCUCAAGCUCAUAGGCUUUCGGUAAUGGGUGUGAUAAUCCUCAUAAUAAGACUUAUCACAGCACCCAGACAGGCAGAAUUUCAUGGAUGGAGGGGUGAGUUUGCAAUUGAAGAUACCCUGAUAGCUACCCUAUAUGUAUCAUUAUCACUGUUGUUCUUUCUAUUACUACUUUCCCAAUGUAGAUCCAACCUUUUGUUUUUUGCUUACAAGACCCUUUGGCACCAAAACUAGCAGGCUAGACUGUGAUGCUCUGCCACUGACUACAAACGCACUGUACAACAUGCCCUCCUGUCCUUCGAUGUCAAGUCAACAUCCUCUUUCCCCUGGAGUCUGGAGUUGGAGAAUCUUGGAGAAAGAGAAAGGGUGCCAGGUUCUGGUGGCUCAGGACUGCUGUCUCAUCUGCCCACUGUCCUGCAGUGACAGUAGAAUCCACGUGUCCAACCUCCAGUCUCAAUGGUGACAGCCAGUGCUUUGGUGACCUCAGAGCUGCAGCAUCUCCCAGGAAGACUGUCUGUCUUGCUCUGUGCUGUGCAGACUCCCGCUUCAAGAGAAAUCUCCUGCCCUGGCUGAAAGAAACAUAGGGGAGUGGUUUAUUUAUACAUAAUAAAUACAUCAGUUCACAUGUAGCCAUGAGAAUAGAGUUCGGGAGAAAUUUCCAAGCUUUGAAGGCUUAGUACUAUA